rnacentral:rRNA from 1 species
GACGAACGCUGGCGGCGUGCUUAACACAUGCAAGUCGAACGAAGUGGCGGACGGGUGAGUAACGCGUAAUAAACCUGCCCUUCAGAGGGGGACAACAGUUGGAAACGACGGCUAAUACCGCAUACUGAAGGAGGGGAUUGCGUCGGAUUAGCUAGCUGGGGGGGUAAAGGCCCACAGAGGCGAGGGUACGUAGCCGGGCUGGCGGGAAGGACGGCCACAAUGGGACUGGGACACGGCCCAGAAUUCUACGGGAGGGAGCAGUGGGGAAACUUCCGCAAUGGACGAAAGUCCGACGGAGCAACGCCGGGUGAUAUAUGACGGCCUUUGGGUUGGAAAAGUCUGUUAAGCGGGACGCGGUACCGGAAUAGAAAGCCACGGCUAACUACGUGCCAGCAGCCGCGGUAAUUC